GCUUAUGGCCACACCCCUGGUUCACGCCUGAUCUCGUUUGAUCUCGGAAGCUAAGAUAGGUGGGCCUGGUUAGUACUUGGAUGGGAGACCGCCUGGGAAUACCAGGUGCUGUAAGAU
rnacentral:rRNA from 1 species